UCUCCUUGGAAAAAAAACCCAGAAUUGCAGUAACUUUCGGUUGCUGAAAAACAGUGAAACCUCUGCCACACACCAGAUGUCCUGGGGACCCCUCAUUCGGUCUGAAGGUGAGCCUCCACGUGCAGAAGCAGGCCUGGGCACUGGCUAUGUGGUCCUCACCGUGGUGGCCAUCUCUGUGCUGGUGGUGGGAGCAGCCACCUUUCUGAUCGUGCGCUACCGGAGAACCAAUGGGAGAUACAACUUUACAAUCCAGUCCGACAACCUCAGCUACCGGCUGUUCUACGGAUAGGAGGCGCAGGCUGGCAGGAAGGUCGCCGUGAGUCAACCUGCCUCGAGAACCUUGGAGCUUCCCUGGCGGGCUGCCCCAGGAUCCGUAGUGUCUCUCUGCAUCUCCAUCCAUCCCUUGGUUCUUAACUCUUCAAGCCUUAAUGGGGGUCUGCUCUGAUGGGUGUGCACUGCCAGCGCCUGAGUGAGCCCAGAGAAGAUGACAGCAGCCACCGUCUUCCCCCAAGAGGCAGGCUGUCUGGUGGGUCCCAGAGGAGCCACACCUCACAGGCAGAUGAAGGGGCUAUGGGAAUGGGGGCAGUGCUGGGGGUGCCCCGGCUCUACCACCACCCACACGGCCCCCACAGUCCAGACCUCCCAGACCUGUGACCCUCCACGGCAGCCCAUGGGACCCUCCUGGGCUUGCUCUCCCUUGACAUCCCUCACUCUUUGGCAAAUAUAGAAUAUUCCACAUUCUCAGAGAGACCGGGCAGUGCUCUUAAUGCUCUUUUAAAAAUAGGUCAGUCUUAGAAAUACGCUGCUGAUGUUAUUCUUGGAGGAUGUUUAUGCUCAUCAACUUUUCUCCUGUGUACUAAGCUAUUGCUUUUAUUUACACAACCGCGACUCAAAAGGCACUCCAUUAAUAUGACAGUCUUUUUAGUAAGUAGAAAUAACAUAUACACAUCACUACAUUUUUCUAAGCAUUUUCACAGCCAUUUUUUUUUCGCAUAAUCCGACCACAGGAGGAGCUGUGAUUUACCCAUUACACAAUGAGAAACCAGAGGAGUUGAUUAAUUACUUAAUUGAGGUCACAGAAUGAAUUAGCAAGAAAAUGGUUCUAAAACAUAAGCAUUUUAGUCUAGCAUUUUCUCCAUUAUACCGUCCUGAGUGAUAAUGCUUUGUACUUUAUUUGAAAUAAACUGGAAUUGUGUUAGAUAGCUCAUACCUCAACGUAGAGUGCUUUUCCUCAACGAACUUAGAACUGUAAUGUGGCCUUAGUUUUCAAUCUGUGAUAUGAAUUUUGUUGAAUAUAUCUAAUUGUCAUUCAUAAAGAACAUUUGGGGAAAAGGAAUAUUCUCAGAGUCAGUAAAGGAUGACAGUGGGUGAUGCGUGUGGAUCACAGAUUCUGAGCAGUAGAAUCGAUUGCACAGGACACUGCGAUGCGGCUGGUUGUGCUGGAUGCGCCGUCUGGGACGGUCACAUUACAGGCUCACUGGGCCUCCGCCGAGGGCUGGUGCUGCGUCGGCACUCUGGGGAGGCCAGGAACACAUCUCCGACUCUUCCCAAGUCACGUCCAGCUGCUCUGAUGUCAGCUGAGGAACUUUCACUUGCCUUUCUUGGAAGAGCGCGACAUAUUCAGUAAAACUGUGUGAGCCCCAUGACUGUGUGGCUCAUUGGAUUUCAGAUAAAGUCCUUGGCGUAUAUUUAAAAACCCUGUCUUUCAAACUUUGUCCACAGCUUUCGUGUACUCUUAAUACACAUGCCACGUCUGUUCAUUUGUGUUUUCUACAAUAAUGAAAACGUGAUUUCUUCUCA